UACAGAGGUCCCGAGCGUUGUUCGGAUUCACUGGGCGUAAAGGGUGCGUAGGUGGUUGGGUAAGUCUGAUGUGAAAUCUCCGGGCUCAACCCGGAAAUGGCAUUGGAUACUAUUCGGCUAGAGGGUUGGAGGGGGGACUGGAAUUCUCGGUGUAGCAGUGAAAUGCGUAGAUAUCGAGAGGAACACCAGUGGCGAAGGCGAGUCCCUGGACCACACCUGACACUGAGGCACGAAAGCUAGGGGAGCAAACAGG
rnacentral:rRNA from 1 species